AUUACACCAAUCGAAAAAAAACAAAAGAUGAAUUAUUUGUUAUUGUCCCUAAAAACCAAAACCAAUGUAUAAACAUAAUUUGAUAUACUAAGGAAGACAUCGUAACCACCUGCCCUCUGAACAUGAUGUUAUUACGAGCAUUCUAAAGACUACACGUGCUUGCUAACCAAAUGAGAUGACGAACUUUAGCAUUUUUCUAAUAUUUCACCAAGUCACCAAACCCAUUGAAAUGACUCCAAACUUCAUCAACUUGCACUAAAUCAACUUUCAGCCACUGAUAAAUUUUCUCUCACACUUAAAAUAAGAAAUCGCAGUUAAAGAAUAAGUGAUGAAUGUCAUCAUCUUCUCUAAAACAUAAAGCACAAUAUCUUUCACGUUCAUUAACGUUGACCCCUUUCGUAGACAAAAACCAUUUGUAGGUAGAUAAUUGUUUUAUUCAAACUCCACGCUAGCGAGAACGUGGAGCAAGA
rnacentral:lncRNA from 1 species